rnacentral:rRNA from 1 species
UACGUAGGCAGCGAGCGUUGUUCGGAGUUACUGGGCGUAAAGAGUGCGUAGGCGGUUUUCUAAGUUUGGUGUGAAAUCUCCCGGCUUAACUGGGAGGGUGCGCCGAAAACUGGAAGGCUUGAGUAUGGGAGAGGUAAGCGGAAUUCCUGGUGUAGCGGUGAAAUGCGUAGAUAUCAGGAGGAACACCUGCGGUGUAGACGGCUUACUGGACCAUAACUGACGCUGAGACACGAAAGCGUGGGUAGCAAACAGG